UUGUGCUUUCUCUCUCUCUCUCUCAAAUAAAUAAAUAAAAUCUUAAAAAAAAAAAAAAAAAAGAAUUUGCUCUUCAUUCCCCGGCAGUCUGAAAUGCUUGUUGUUGAAUUUCUAUUCAGAAACUCCAGAGUAGACGCCUGGGAAUUUGCUCUGCAGUUAAAAUCCACCUUGUGUUUAUAUAGUUUUAUUCAAGAACACAAGAUAACAUUUUGUUGUGUUUCAGAUAGGGAGAAAUGUCUACACUUUAGAAAAACUGAUGUUUUCUAUCGUGUUCAAUAUUGAUCCACUUGGAAGAGCUUCAGAAGGUUUCAUUAAAAUGACCAGAACCAUCCCAGACAGGUGAAACUAUGAGUCAAAAUCGUUAAUGGAGACAUCAGAGCAUAGGACACAGUAAGCUAGCUAUGUUUACAGUAACAGCUUUGUUACAAAAUCUUUAUUUGUGAAUUCCAUGUGGACAGAAAACUAAUCAAGUUGAUUUUUAUUACUUUAAUUCUUAAAGGUGGAUGUAUUUUGCUUUUCGGGGGGAAAACAUCUGAGAUUCCCCGACAGUGCUGGGGCAUCUAAAUGGAUGGGAGUUGGUGGUUUAACAAGUGAGGGACUGUUUGGGGGUGAACAUCUCACCAGUAGAUGUCAGGUGAGCCCGUGCAGACUUCACUCAUACAGACUACUUGUCAAUUGCCUUCCAGAGAAAAAGUAAGUGACCUCUCCAAGAAUACCCAGGGCCAGACAUAGAUGACUGGGAAAAUGCUGGGAGACUAUGAGCCCUUUCCAGCCCUACUGAAGAUUGCUGCCAGUGCAGCCACCUCCUUAUUAAAGCAUCGGUUUCCAGAAAAGCCUCAUUUACAAUGCAUGUUACCCGUGAAAAGUAGGUAACAAGUUACCUAUGAGAACUUAUCGUGGGAGAUUUGGUGGGAAGUUUGGAGGAAGAGGGGCUUUUAUGACCCCUCCUCAUUAAACAGGACAUACCUGGUUUGGGCACAAUUAUGAAAAGUAUGGAGCAGCCAGCAGUGGUCACGAGACAUCAUGUGCCUAGGAAGAUGAGGCAGUGGGUUUGCCAAAAGAUAAUCCGUUCUGCCAAAGGUGUAGCUUAAUUCAUCUUAUACUCGUCCAAAAAGAGGCUCAGAGGAUAAGGUGUUUGCUGAGAGUGCCAACGCCAAUCACCAGACUAGAGCUGUCUAGACAGAGCACUGUGACUGCGGACUUUAAACAUUUCAUUUAUUUUCUUUCUAGCCUGGUAAGGGUAAAACACGUUUAUUACGAAUCGAUUAUAUUGUCGGAAGAACGAAAGCCAUCAAAGGUAUCUUGCUCUGCCACCUAGUGGUGAGCUUUCACCUGCCUGUUACGGAGAGGAGACUGACGGCUGGCUGUCCAGGGCCAGCUCCAGGAACGUCGCGCGGGUGUCUACGGGGAUGGCUCGGGCACGGGUUCUGUACUCCAGACAAGGAUGAAGAGGAAUGAGAGCACCGGAGGACCUGGAACAUGAAAGAGCCUUGAUAAUCUCACACGGGAGGAAUUGGAGCCCUAAAUGCUGAGAGAAGCGCUCCACACCGUCGAACCAAAGACAUUUACAAAGUUUUGUCUGACCGGUGCCUUGGGGGAAAUGCCGUCCCGCAAAAGAUUUGCUGUGAGCCCAGGGCACCUGCAAUCUCUGAGGGGCCUUGCAGCCAAGGACUCAGGCACCACCUGCCCUGGUCCCAGGGAAAUGGCAGACACCUAUGGUUCAGGCCCCCUCUGCAGUAAGAUGACCUCCUCUCCUGCUGAUCCACGGGCCCUCGGUGGCACGCUCCCACCGGGAGAGGAGCACCGCGGGAACAGGCGCCUGCUCCUGUUCAAGCUCUUGCUUAUACUACCACAGUAAGUGAGUAAAGGCUUGAUUGCUGCCAUCACUUUGGCAAACAUGUUACAACUUCGAUAUUAGAAGACAUUCUUGUGCUUGAAAAGAUCGAUAAGCUGGAAUACAUACUUCUGAAAUUUUUUAACCUGGCUUCUAUCAAUGUACAGUUGACCCUUGAACAACCUGGGUUAGGGACACUGACCCCCCAGACAGUGGAAAAUCUGCAUUUAACUUCUGACUCUGGUGCAACUGAACUACUAAUAGCCUACUGUUGACCGAAAGCCUUACCAAUAAGAUAAACAGUUGAGUAACUGUUAUCUGUGGUAUAUGCUACAUUCUUACAAUAAAGUAAGCUAGAGAAAAAAAAUAAUAAUGAAGAGAAAAUACAUUUACAGUCCUGGAUUUAUUAUUAAAAAAAAAAAAAGUCUGCAUGUAAGUCGACCCAUGCAAUUCAAACCCAUGUUGCCCAAGGGUCAACUGUAUGUGAACUUUUUCUUCAGAAAGUCCUGGAUAACUCACACUUAGAGCCAUCAUUAGACUCACAAGUCACCAUGGUAGCAAUUAUAAGUCGCCAUGACAAAGCAACAAAUUCUGAUUUUGUUGCAUUUAGAUGCUCUUCAUUCCUUCAAUGAGAACUACAGCAUUCUUAACUCUCCCUGCCUCUGUGUUAUAGAAUUUUCCCAUUCAAGAUAGGAAGGUACCUAAGAAUCAUGACUUUUGUGAAUGGUAAUCAAAAUCAUUCUGUUGGCACAGUCUCUGCCUUUGAUCUUAAGGAGGGAGUGAGAACAAAGAUUGUCAUCAGAGCUGAGAUUCAGAAAUUGUCUGACAAAGGACGGAUUUUUAAAUUAAUUGACUUGUCCUUUAGGUCCCAUUUUUGGGUGCUGUUAACUAUUUUUAAUUCAUUUUAAAAAUCUUCUCUACCUCUUUUUUUUCUUUUUCUUGACUAACUCAGCGUCUUUCUUUUAAGCCCUACAUCCACCACCUAGGCAGGCACGAGGACAAAUCCACUUGUGAUUGACUUUACGAUUGCGUGUUUCCUUAACACGCACCCAUUCCAUGAGCCCAGAGUGCAUAAAAUAAAUAUAUGCCCAACUCACUUGACUGAGGCUGCUAUGUCAAAUGUCAGCUUGGGAAUAGAUGCCUCUUCUGCUGAGUCAAGCCCAGAAUGACAACCAAAAUGCAAGACGAUACAGAGAGCCUGGAGGGCUAGCCUGGCAAGGUCCAAGGAGGAGGUGAGGCUCGCACUUAGUUGAGAGAGUCAAGCGAGAGAGUCUCCCAAGAAAGGAGGAGAGGAGGCAACAGGAGCCAAGGGUAGGGUCGGCUUACAAUCUUAUUACCAGGACUCGGCUCUCCAGUCUCUGCACGUACAUGUUUAUUCUUUGUGCCAAAAUCGUCGUACCCAGAAGAUGUAGAGCUGAACUGACUACCCCAACAUCUCGAUUUUUUCAACUGUAGCUCAAUUAUUUAUUUUAAUUGAGUAAAAAAAAAAUGUUUUAAUCCUGCCAUUUGCAGCUGUACAAAGGGACCUUGAGGGCAUUAUGCUAAGUGAAGUACCCAGGCAAAGACAAAUGCCACCUGCCAUCCCUUAUAUGUGGAAUCCAAUUUUUAAGAAAGUCGCACUAAU